GGACCCGUUUUAUUUACAAACUGGGCAGGAUGGGGUGGGUUUUGGAUUUUUCAAAAUGGGAUCCGGACCUAACCCGGCCCUUUUGAAAUGGGCCGGAUCCUACAGGUCCCCACAGGUCCAAAUCUUCACUCACGUAGUCUGGUCUUCGUCAUCCUCUUCGCUCCAUCAAAACCACCACGCAAGAUCUGCACUCUCAAGGCAAAUUAGGGAUUAGAUUAGGGUUUUCACAAAACUUUUUCAUACAAACCCACAAAUCCAAUUUGCCUUCUCAUCAGCUAUGAAUUCAAAUAAUAAAAGAAAGGGAAUACCUUAGGGUUUUUUAAUCUAAGCAAUUUCAAUCAAUUCCCCUGUGAUUUCCUCUUCCUUCUCAUCGACCACCAAAAGGUUAUGCAAAGAGAAAAAUUAAAGAAGAAAAAAAGCAUUGAUGAUUGAUCUAUAAUUUCAAGUCCCAGAUAAAACAUAAAAUUUCAAGUUCACAAAACAGCUAAAUAAUCCCAAUAAAAACCCUUGCAGCUAAAACUUAGUCGACCUCGUUGAUCUUGGGACCUAGGCCGCUGGCACUGGAAGAGCAUCACCAUCAACUAGCUGGCACUGUCACAUCCCGGCUCGGGCCCCUACCACAUCCCAAGCUCGACUCUGCCGUAGCACGAUAUUGUCCGUUUUGGGCCCCGACCACGCCUUCACGAUUUUGAAUAUGGGAACUUCCAAGUAGGUCACCCAUGAUGAGAUUGCUCUUGCUCG
rnacentral:lncRNA from 1 species